GAGUUUGAUCCUGGCUCAGGACAAACGCUGGUGGUGUGCCUAAUACAUGCAAGUCGAACGAGAAAGUCCCUUCGGGGGCGAGUAAAGUGGCGAACGGGUGAGUAACGCGUAGAUAACAUACCUUCAGGUGGGGAAUAGCCAGCCGAAAGGUUGGAUAAUACCGCAUAAGACCACAAUAUCUGCGGAUAUAGGGGUUAAAGAUUUAUCGCCUGGGGAUUGGUCUGCGUCUGAUUAGUUUGUUGGUGGGGUAAAAGCCUACCAAGACUGUGAUCGGUAGCUGGUCUGAGAGGAUGAUCAGCCACAUUGGGACUGAGACACGGCCCAAACUCCUACGGGAGGCAGCAGUAGGGAAUCUUGCGCAAUGGGGGAAACCCUGACGCAGCGACACCACAUGAGUGAUGAAGGCUUUAGGGUUGUAAAGCUCUGUUCUUGACGAACAAAAAAAUGAGCUUAGUCAAGGAGAAAGGACCGGCUAACUUCGUGCCAGCAGCUGCGGUAAGACGAGGGGUCCAAGCGUUGUCCGGAAUUAUUGGGUGUAAAGCGGGUGUAGGCGGUUUUGCAAGUCAGAAGUGAAAGCCUCAGGCUCAACCUGAGAAGCGCUUUUGAUACUGCUAAACUUGAGUUUGGAAGAGGGCAAUGGAAUUCCUGGUGUAGUGGUGAAAUGCGUAGAUAUCAGGAGGAAUACCAGAGGCGAAGGCGGUUGCCUGGUCCAAUACUGACGCUGAGAUCCGAAAGCGUGGGGAGCAAACAGGAUUAGAUACCCUGGUAGUC
rnacentral:rRNA from 1 species